GGUGCCAAUGCUACACUUCCUUAGCUAGGAGCUAGCAAUGCUACGUGGAAUUGCAUGUCGGUAUCUUCUGAGAGGUUGUUCUCUCUCCACUUCUCAUUCAAGUCUGAAGAUGCUUACAGUCACCUGCAGUACUUCUAAAUCAGAGUUUUGAGAUGGAAGAGGUCACAGCUCCAAUGAUCUCAGCCGAAGAAGAUGAGGAAGAAGACCAGCACAAGUGGUAAGAAUCAGAGUCUCUCUCAAAUCAGCUUUUGCUGGUAUCAGGAUUUCUCUGGAGGACUCAACAAAGUCCUCUCCAUGCCUGAGAUUCCUACAAUGAUUGAAAUUCCAUUGUUUCUUCCCCGUGGCAUCCAGCCCACUGUACGCUGUGGCAUUUGGACAGGUUCUUGCCUCGAGUUCCUGCUCUGCCUUCAUUUCACUAUACCUAGAAGCUGAAAUAAACUAUUUCCUCCACAA
rnacentral:lncRNA from 1 species